AUGGUGUGGUGCGAUGGAGAGGUUAACGAAGGUCGUUGCGGCGGUGGGAUAACGACAAGGCGGAAGCGUGUUUGGAACACACUUGCGCUCUUAUUGUCUUCUCAAUUUCUCCCGUUCUUUUUUUCUGUAAGAAUUAUAUAUGAAAGGGAUGUCUGUUUUGAUGAGUCAUGUACUGACUUAUUUGUCGUGGACUGUUUUUCUUACUGGCUUGAAAAAUUAACCAGAUCCUUGAACUUGUCUUCUUUGGCGACAAAUAGGGUACAUGUGUAA